CUCUGGCUGCUUUCAAGGUUUUCUUUUUAGCUUUUAUUUUUAGCAGUUUGAAUGAGUGUAUGUAAAUUUGUGUUUUGCCCCAGUUUCGAAAGUGGGUGUUGUUGUUUUUGCCACUAUUUUGUUCUUUUUCUUUGCCAGUAUUUCAUUCUUUUCUUUUCUCUCUCCUUUUCUCUCUCUCUCUUUUUCUCUGAGAAGGCUGCUGGUCUUGGGCAUCCAUGCUGAAGCAAUCCUCCAGCCUCAGCCUCUUGGGCAGGGGCUCUGGUUGCUCUACAUUGUAUCCUCUGGCUCUUCAGGCCAAACAGACAGCAUUUUCCACUGGACUUUUAGCAGCCCUGGACAAGGCCACAGCUGCAACCUGCCCUCUGGAUUGCUAGCAGCAGAGUCAAUCUGAAGUUCUAACUACCCUGGUCAUAUAUUUGGCUGGCCGUGGCUGAUGAAGCAGAAAGGAUAGGGCAGGAGUACUUGGCUGAUGUGUAGCCAACACGUCUUCUCAUGAUCAAAAACUAAAAAGGUGGGAACAAAAGAAGCUUCCAAUCCUUCUGGCUUUCUUCCCAAAGCCAGGAGGCAGCUCCUGAGUGGUGGAUUUUGGAUUAUAGGUGAUGCUCCCAGCAAAGGGCCUGGCCCAGAGGAAUGCUCAAGAGUAGGAUGAAAAGACUGAGGGCUUCUUCGUCUACAAAAGGAAGGGUUGGGACUGAUGGAAAUUGAAAAGUCUAGAUCUUCACAAUCCUCAACAGUUUCACCACCAAUGCACACACAAAAUUAGUGUGCCCUGUAUUUCCAGUCCUGUGAUGAAUAUGAAAAGAGCCUCACCAUCAGGUUCCACGUCCAGAUCUGAGACCUCACAGGGAGGGCUCACCUUCCUGGUCCCAAAAUACUUCAAAAUAUAUAAUCCUUCAAUCUUAAACAUAUACAUUUUAUUGCUUUUCAUUAUACAGUUAUACAUAUUUACUAUUGAAAACACAGAUAAGAAAAAAAAGAAAAUGGUUCCUUCCAUUCAUUAACACUACCCAGGUUUAAAAAAUUACUGUUCAGCGUUAUGUUGAAGAAUCUCACUCUUUUCCUAUGCAUGCAUGGAUUUCAAGCAAAAACGGCUACUUUGGGUGCAUCUUGUUUUUAUAAUUUUUUCUCCCAAAUUAAUAUAUAAUCAACAUCUUUUCAUGUCAAUCUUCAGUCCUUUCUUCUGUCACUUAUUUUUAAUGGUUAACUAGUUAUCUACUGUAUGGAUAUUCUGUAAUUUAUUAAAAAGGUCCCCCAUUGUUGAAUAGUGAAAUUGAUGAUAAGAAAGUACCAAUCUUGUUGAGAAGACAAAGCCCGUGAGAAGCAGUUUCAUGAAAUUACAGUUGGAACUUGCUAUGUGCUGAGUGGCAGAAAUGCAAUAGAGUUCUGAAGGGAAGGAGUGGUUUUUGAAUGAAGGGCCGUGGGGAGGCUUUAAAGAGUAGGUAGGGUUGGAGUCAAGCUUUGAGAGAUGGGCUGGAUUUCCACAGGUUAAGAGAUAGUAUUCGAAAUAGGAGAACCAGCAGCAGCAAAGGCACAGAGGCCAGGGUUUGGGGUAGGUGUUUAGACCCUGGGGAGGGUUUAUGUAGGGGAUCAGCUCCAGAGAGGGUUAGAAAAGGAGGACAACAGAUUCUAGAGUGGAUGGGAAGUGCAAGUCUGGUAAGAGUAAAUUUUAUGUUUUUGGGCAAUAGGGAGCCACAGAGAGCUUUUGAGCUAGGUUGUGUCAUGAGUAGAUCUGGUUUUAUGAAGUCACUGUAUGAGCAGCUAGGGAGGGAAGAGAAUGGCAUGAGAUGAUAUCCGAGGCAGGGAGAUCUGUUAGAAGGAAGUCCAGAGGAGGUGAUGAGACCUGGAUCCAGGCAGUGACAGGAGGUGAGGGAAAUGGGUUGGAUGUCAUAGCUGGAGAGGGCCUGAGGGAGGAGCCACUGAAUGUACUAGUCCCCCGGGCUCACAGAGGGGGAGCCUGCUGUCUGAUACCUGGGGUCCCGGAAGAGUUAAUGGGCUUCCUGUGGGUGAGCUAAUUGGCUCUUCAGUGGGGCUGACUCAUCCCAGCAUCCAAGCCAGUUAUUAGUAAUACUGGGGAGGGAGGGAGAGAGAAAAUAAAACAAAAGCAGAGCAGUGGGAGUUCUGUCUGAUUGAAAAGUUCCAGGGUUGGCCUCCCAUUUCAGACAGGCAGCAUUGGGAAGAGGGCCCUGCUGUGUGGGGCCGAACGGAGGGGUGCGGCUGGCGGAAGUGACAUUUCCAUGACGCCUGCUUGAAACUCAUCCAUAUCUGCCUUGUGGGGGUACAGCGGGGAAGGCUGGGUCUUUCCAUAAACAGCCCAGGUUUUCCAGUGACACCCAAGGCACACUCGGGGCCAGAGGGUGAGGCUGAAAACGUCCACACCUGGGAGGAGAGGAACAGCGAAGGCCAGGGGUGCAAGGUCUAGUACUUUUUACUUAAAAACCGGCUGAAGUCUUGGUCUCUUCGUUGGCUGUUGCCUUGGAUUUUUAGAUUUUGUACAUGCUGCGGUCAAUUUGGUUUGGUGGGAGAGAAAUCACUGGGAACAGCCUUCCAUAGUGCAGUAAAGUAGGGCCGUUUGGGUAGAGGAUGUGUCCUGGGCACUGCCCAGAGACGCUGGCAGAGGCGUAAGGGGGUGUUGCUAGGUCCUCCCAUCCUCUCUGCCUCCUCCUGGAUGUGGGCUCCUGCUGUCUUUUCCUGCAGCAGCAGUGGAGCAAACACUGCCCAGGGCUUACCGGGCCCUGAUUCCCACCCUAACUGGCCGGGACACUUUGGCCAGGAUGAUUCCCCAGUGAGGGUCUCAGGUGUCUUAUCACGGUUCCUCUGUUACUUGAAGGCAGAGGGCUGAACCUGACAAUGUGUGUGGUAUUUUCCAGCUCCAUGUCCCUAUGUAGUCAUUUUUCUCCCAUGCCACGUGUUCAGGGAAUGACUCUUGUUUCUACCUGCUCAUCAGGGAUCAAGUGCAGACCUUACCUUCAGGGCUGUGGAACACAGCCCCAGCUAGACACUGUGGGUCUGAUUUGGAUUGUAAAGAGUUUGUCCUCAUGAAAGUGUGCUUUUGUGUCCUCUGGCUUUCUGUUUGGGGUUCCAGUGGUCGGUAGGCACACGUGCACCCUUGUGUUGUGUGGCAGCCAGAUAAGCUGCAUCUUUGGGUUGCAGGGCCCGGUGUGUGGGGGUGCCACUAACACAUGCUGUGCCUUGGGCUCUGCGUGGAUCACGUCAUGACGCUGUCCCCAUGCCUCCCAUGCACGGGUCACAGGCACCUUCCACUCAUCUGCUGCCUAGGGCCAGUCCUAUUGCCAACUUCAUGUUUUGGGUCCAGGGCCUCCCCUCCAGAAAUCCCACACAUUGGCAAGGGGAAACCAGCCUAAAAUAAGGGCCAGGCCAACCUGAGGUGUGGUGGCUCAGGCCAAAGGGCUCCCCUCAUCUUGAGUGCAUAGAACGCCUCCCUGUGAGGUCUUAGAUUUGGACGUGGAAACUGAAGUGGAACAUAGAGCAGAGAAGGAGGAGGGGUGAAGCCUGACCCUGAUGGAAGGGGAAGAAAAGAACAAACUGGGGCUGACAUGACGUGGAAGGAAAGGCCGGCAUGGAGCAGCAUGGAGCCAUCUGCUAAUGAAGGGAAGGCAGGGAUGGGGCAGAGGUGUUGGGGCUUCCGUGUGACUCCAGAGGCCGAGCCCAGAGCUGUGUAUGGAGGUGCUACACAGGGUGGGAGCAGAGAUUUUCCAACAAAGGAGCAUUUGUGGGCCUCCAGAUGGAGGCUCUACCUUCUACCCUUUGUCUUUGACCUCUCUCCCCUGCACAAUCAGAAGGUUCUGCAGAGGGACUUCAUUAUUGAUGGGUGAGCAUAUGUUUAUUGGGCAUCUGUGGUGUGCCAGGCAUGGUGUGGAGUGCUGGGUGCAGAACUAAAUGGAAUAUCUGUUACUGACCACAUGGGGCUUAUAGUGGGGGAACAAGUCAGAACACACAUAAACAAACACCAGAAUGGAUAGAUAUUGUGAUCAGUGCAUUGGAGAGAAAGAACAGGAUGUUUCAAGAAAGGACAGCAUGAAAGACUGCUAUGUGGGCUCAGGAAGGCCUCCGUGUGUGUGUUGGGGAGUGAUGGUUAAGCAAUGGCCCAAAGGAUGACGGGAGUUACCCAGGUGAAGGGUUGUGGAAAGAAAGGGCACAAGUGAGGGCCAGGAGGCAGCUGCGCUCGGUGCAUUUAGGGCACCAAGGAAGGCUGGUGUGGGUGGCAGGGGGCAAAAAGGAUGCUGAGGUGAGCCCAGCAAGGGCUGCGGGCCAGGAAACAGGACUUUUCUCUUGAGUGCAUUGGGAAGGCAUGUGGCAGGCAGCCACCUUCAGGAUGGGCUUGCUUCUCCCAAGUGCCAGCGUUCAGUGGCUGCUCUCUGAGAAGCUGGCGACUGGUACGGCUGGUGCAGGGCAAAGGGCAUCAGGGAGACUCUGCUCUCCUCCUCUGGGAGCCAGCCUUCUCUGUCUCAAGCACACAGCAGGGGAGGGCCCUGGAUCUGCCCUGGAAAGCUCCCCAGGCCUGAGCAGUAGGCAGCAGCUCAGGGGUGCUGAGUUCAUAUCCACCCUGAACCUGUGAAUGUGACCUUAUUUGGAAAUAGGGUCUUUGAAGAUGUCAUCAAGUGAAGAUGAGGCUACAGUGGAUCAGGGUGGGUUCUAAUCCAAUAACUGGUGUGCUUAUAAGAAAAGGGAAAUUUGGACACAGACACACAGAUGGAGAGCCCAUGUGAAGAUCAAUGCAGAGGGCAGAGUGAUGCUACCACAAGCCAAAAAAUGUCAAGGAUGGCCAGCGGCCACCAGCAGCCAGGAGAGGCCCGAGCGAGCUUCCGUUGGUGACUGCAGUGAGAGCGUGGCCCUGCUGAUACCUUAGCUUCAGACUUUGGACCUCCAGAACUGUGGCAGAAUCAAUCUCUGUUGUUCUAAGCACCCAAUUUGUGGUGCUUUGUCACAGCAGCCCCAGGAAACAAAUACAUUGAGUCCAGGAAGGGGAACCUGGUGUAUAGAGCCUGCCUCACAUGCUGGCCCACCAGCAUUCAUUAUCUUGUUUAGAUGACAACUCAGUGAAGUUCCAACCAUGGUCUUCAUUUUACAGAAGAAGAGCUGGAUGGUCAGAGAGAUGCAGUGACAUGUCAAAGGCCCACAGAGACACAAAACCAAGGCUGGGGUUGAAGUUAGGUCUGAAUUGGCCCCUGAUCUUUCUACACUGCCCAUCUGCAGAGCCUUGAUGGAGGGUGAUCCGAGGGGAUCAGGCAAUGAUGAGGAAUCGAGGCUCUGCGGCACUCAUGUAUUAUUUACUGGUGGAAUUCCAUGCCUGGCAUUUGUUUUAGGAUGCCCUAAAAA